rnacentral:rRNA from 1 species
AUUGAACGCUGGCGGCAGGCCUAACACAUGCAAGUCGAACGAGUGGCGGACGGGUGAGUAAUGUCUGGGAAACUGCCCGAUGGAGGGGGAUAACUACUGGAAACGGUAGCUAAUACCGCAUACCAUCGGAUGUGCCCAGAUGGGUUUAGCUUGUAGGUGAGGUAACGGCUCCCCUAGGCGACGAUCCCUAGCUGGUCUGAGAGGAUGAUCAGCCACACUGGGACUGAAACACGGCCCAGACACCGACGGGAGGCAGCAGUGGGAAGUAUUGCACAAUAGGCGCAAGCCUGAUGCAGCCAUGCCGCGUGUAUGAAGAAAGCCUUCGGGUUGUAAAGUACUUUCAGUCGGGAGGCGUUACCGACAGAAGAAGCACCGGCUAACUCCGUGCCAGCAGCCGCGGUAAUAC